rnacentral:rRNA from 1 species
ACCAAGGCUUGACAUAUACCGGAAAGCAUCAGAGAUGGUGCCCCCCUUGUGGUCGGUAUACAGGUGGUGCAUGGCUGUCGUCAGCUCGUGUCGUGAGUUGUUGGGUUAAGUCCCGCAACGAGCGCAACCCUUGUUCUGUGUUGCCAGCAUGCCCUUCGGGGUGAUGGGGACUCACAGGAGACUGCCGGGGUCAACUCGGAGGAA